rnacentral:misc_RNA from 1 species
GAUGAAGAACGCAGCGAAAUGCGAUAAGUAAUGUGAAUUGCAGAAUUCAGUGAAUCAUCGAAUCUUUGAACGCACAUUGCGCCCCUUGGUAUUCCGAGGGGCAUGCCUGUUCGAGCGUCAUAUUAACCACUCCCGCUUGCGGGGUCUUGGGCUUCGCCUCCGGGCGGGCCUUAAAAUCAGUGGCGGUGCCGUCGGGCUCUACGCGUAGUAAAUUUUCUCGCGAUAGGGUCCCGGUGGAUGCUUGCCAACAACCCCAAACUUCUUAAGGUUGACCUCGGAUCAGGUAGGGAUACCCGCUGAACUUAAGCAUAUCAAUAAGCGGAGGA